UUAGCCUACGGGAGGCAGCAGUGGGGAAUAUUGCACAAUGGGGGGAACCCUGAUGCAGCGACGCCGCGUGGGUGAAGGAGUAUUUCGGUAUGUAAAGCCCUAUCAGCAGGGAAGAACAAUGACGGUACCUGACUAAGAAGCACCGGCUAAAUACGUGCCAGCAGCCGCGGUAAUACGUAUGGUGCAAGCGUUAUCCGGAUUUACUGGGUGUAAAGGGAGCGCAGGCGGCGCGUUAAGCCUGGUGUGAAAGCCCGCGGCCCAACCGCGGGACUGCAUUUGGAACUGUGUGGCUGGAGUGUCGGAGG
rnacentral:rRNA from 1 species